AGCCCUUUCUCCUUGGAUAUAGCCCUGUCUUUGAGAAAAGUGCUUCAAGAAGGCAGAUGUCCUCAGCAGAUGUCCUCAGCAGGCACGCACCCACGACCUUCCAUUCUUCAGUUUCAUCAGCUGCUUCUGUUAACCCUCAUGAUGAAGACAUCAGGAGUCAAGUCUGUUCUUCCACUGUGGAUUCCUGGGAUCAAACUCAUGUGAUCAGGUUUAUGUGGUCUGAGAAAGUUCCCCUAUAGAGGUCCAUUAUCACCAUGGCAGGAAAUACAGUUGUGUGAAG